UUUGCACCCUCUAAGCUAUGGGUACCAUUUGUACCCCCUAACCCCAAGACAAACGAUGCCAGUUUUUUUGAAAAAGGUUUAAAUGAGGAAAGUGACAAAUUUCUUUUUUACUAACAAGAUAUUACAAAGAAUCAAACAGCAAUUUCCAAUCGUUUAUUUCGAAAAAACAAAACUCUGGCAAAGCUUUUCUUGUACACAUCCUGCCUCAUGACCCUGUCUAAACUGUUGCGUUGCUGCGCUUGUAAUGCGUGCGCACCAAGACAGUAUAUUUACACACAGGGAAACAAUGGCAAAAUAAACGGAAUCAUUAUAACCAUGUAAUAACCAUACACUCAAAUGUUCUCUCUUUUCAGAUCGGUUUUCAAACAGAAGCUGACGAAUUCCGAAAGUACAGUUUUUGCAAAGAAAAUCAUUGUUAUAAACUUUCGUUCAAGCUAUCAAAGUCUACUGAACAGAAAAUACAUGGAAUGUCUAUGUAUACUGAACAUUUAGACCCCCCAGGAUUUAUGCCAGAUUUCAUUGUACCCAGAACAACAAAACAAGCAAUGGCUCGGGUACAAGUAUCUACAUAUCUACAGCCAAUGUUCAAAGAAGAACAUUGAAGAAAGAACAGACAACAAACAAGAACAGCAUCUAACCUUUUUGCUGUUUUUUUGUCCCUCUAUGAAAAAAGUCCCUAAAAAUGGACGAAAAGUUAAGCCUAUAGCCUUACUUUUUUGGUGCUUUUUGGCCACUUACGAAAAAUGGAAAAAGUCGCUAAAAAUGGACGAAAAGUUAAGCCUAUAGCCUUACUUUUUUGCUGUAUUUUGACCACUUAUCAAAAAUGGGAACCGUCGCUAAAAAUGGACGAAAAGUUAAGCCUAUAGCCUUACUUUCUUGCUGUUUUUUGGCCACUUACGAAAAAUGGGAAAAGUCGCUAAAAAUGGACGAAAAGUUAAGCCUAUAGCCUUACUUUUUUGCUGUUUUUUGGCCACUUAUGAAAAAUGGAAAAAGUCGCUAAAAAUGGAUGAAGAGUUAAGGCUAUAGCCUUACUUUUUUGGUGUUUUUUGGCCACUUAUGAAAAAUGGAAAAGUCGCUAAAAAUGGAUGAAAAGUUAAGCCUAUAGCCUUACUUUUUUGCUGUUUUUUGGCCACUUACGAAAAAUGGGAAAAGUCGCUAAAAAUGGACGAAAAGUUAAGCCUAUAG
rnacentral:lncRNA from 1 species